AUUGCACGCUGGCGGCAGGCCUAACACAUGCAAGUCGAGCGAGCGGCGGACGGGUGAGUACUGUAUGGGGACUGCCCGAUAGAGGGGGAUAACUACUGGAAACGGUAGCUAAUACCGCAUACUAUCGGAUAACCCAUAUGGUAUUAGCUAGUAGGUGAGGUAAUGGCUCACCUAGGCGACGCUCCCUAGCUGGUCUGAGAGGAUGAUCAGCAAAACUGGGACGGAUACACGGCCCAGAAUCCGACGGAGGCAGCAGUGGGGAAUAUUGGACAAUGGGCGCAAGCCUGAUGCAGCCAUGCCGCGUGAGUGAAGAAGGCCUGAGGGUUGUAAAGUACUUUCAGUAGGGAGGCGUUACCGAAAGAAGAAGCAACGGCUAACUCCGUGCCAGCAGCCGAGGUAAUAC
rnacentral:rRNA from 1 species